UGUUUUUUGUCUAUGUCUAUUUUUUAUAAGGACCAGCAAGUUAUUUCUGUGUGGACAGCCCAGUCCCAGAAGGAGCUUGGGAAUACAGCAGUAGGCUUUAAAGCUUGCCUGUCUUUCGCCUACCCUUCUGGAAAAGAAUGAGAAGGAGCAGGAGGAGGAGGAAAAGAAGGAGAAGAACAGCAAGAAGAAAGAAAGAAGAAAGAAGAAGAGGAGGAGGAGAAGAAGAACAAGAGGAAGAAGAGGAAGAAGAAGAAGAAGAAGAAGAAGAAGAAGAAGAAGAAGAAGAAGAAGAAGAAGAAGAAGAAGAAGGAAGAAGAAGAAGAAAGAAGAAGAAGAAGAAGAAAGAAGAAGAAGAAGAAGAAGAAAGAAGAAGAAGAAGAAGAAGAAGAAGAAGAAGAAGAAGAAGAAGAAGAAGAAGAAGAAGAAGAAGAAGAAGAAGAGGAAGAAAAAGUAGUGGAGGAGGAGGAUGAAUUCAUUUGGUUUUUGGGAAACUCACUCUAUUUCCCUUCUUUUUCUCCUUUUGCCUGUACGUUGUUGUGUCACAGAGGUGUGGCAUCCCCAGUGCCUCACGGGGCCAGUGAGAUGUAACUGCAGCUUUACCUAUUUGGACAUGUGGUUGUGUCACUAUCCCUGAGUAGUGGAAGGUGCCUCUGAGCACCAGCUCCUUUGCUUCCCUGUGUGGUGUGAAGCCAUAUACUUGUGAUUGGCUCAGUGUUGGGCAAAGAAAUUCUUUUUUAGAGUACCUUGGAGUGCUCUACAAGACCUGAGAGGUCAUGGGCACAGUCUUUGUGGAAAAUAUCUUACAUUCUAUAUUUUUAAAAGGUGAGAUUGGGUUAGGUUCUGGAGGUUUUAUUUACAUGAACGAGACCUUCAUAUGGUGGAUUAGAGAAGUAGGCAAUUAUUCAUUCAUCCAUCCAUCCACCCACCCAUCCAUCCAUCUAUCUAUCCAUCCAUUCCCGUCCAUCUACUUAUCCAUCCAUCCGUCCAUCCAUCCAUUUGUAUGAACACUUUAUUAAAAAAUCUUUAAGGAGUACCAACUAUAAGCCAGACUUUUAGCCAAAAACUGAGUAAUAAGCAUCACAUUUUUUAUAGGACUCUGAAAAUCAGCAUGGUGUUAUAGCAAAUAAUUUAGAAUAGGCUUCCAAGAUCAUGGCUUCUUCAAUCAUUUUUAUUUACUCACUGUGUGACUUCGGGCAAGUUCCUUCCCUUCUCUCAGCCUUUCAGGUGAUCUCAAAGUUGC